rnacentral:rRNA from 1 species
UACGUAGGUGGCAAGCGUUGUCCGGAAUUACUGGGCGUAAAGGGCGCGUAGGCGGGACGCCAAGUCGGUCGUGAAAUCUCCGGGCUCAACCCGGAGGAGUCGGCCGAAACUGGUGUUCUUGAGGGAGGCAGAGGAGUCUGGAAUUCCCGGUGUAGCGGUGAAAUGUGUAGAGAUCGGGAGGAACACCGGUGGCGAAGGCGGGACUCUGGGCCUACCCUGACGCUGAGGCGCGAAGGCGUGGGGAGCAAACGGG